rnacentral:rRNA from 1 species
UACGUAGGGCGCAAGCGUUGUCCGGAAUUAUUGGGCGUAAAGAGCUCGUAGGCGGUCUGUCGCGUCUGCUGUGAAAACUCGGGGCUUAACCCCGGGCCUGCAGUGGGUACGGGCAGACUAGAGUGCGGUAGGGGAGACUGGAAUUCCUGGUGUAGCGGUGAAAUGCGCAGAUAUCAGGAGGAACACCGGUGGCGAAGGCAGCUCGCUGGGACGGUAUUGACGCUAAGGCGCGAAAGCGUGGGGAGCAAACAGG